UUGCGAAAAAACCCAAAAACCUAUAUCAAAAACACAAGUUUUUCCAUACAUUUUCCAUAAACCACAAGUUUUCGUAAAACACAAGUUUUUGAUUAAACUCGCCAAAAACCUGAAAAUGAAAACAUUCAACUCCAAACGAAAUAACCAAACAAACCUUUUGAAGAAUUCAGCACAAAUUCAGCAGACAAAAAAAAAAUGAGAGCAGACAAAAAAAAAAAGAACUGACAGAAUCAGCUGUUUUACAAAUGCAGUUUGUUGAUUUUUGCAACUGAAAAUGGCAGAGCAGAAAAAAAAAACAAAAAAAAAGAUGUCCAAACGAUCUUCUUCAUCAAAAAUCUCUUCUCAACUUUACUAAUUAAGCUAUCUGGAUGCUACUUCGAAGUCGUUUUUUUUCCUUGUAUUUGGUGUCUCAAAGAGGAAGAAACUUUGCAAAACUUUUAUAUAUUCCUCUGUUUUAUGUUAAUGAAUUAAAAUUAUUUAUUUAAAUUGUCA